rnacentral:rRNA from 1 species
GGAUAGGGGAGAAAUUCCAAUCGAACCCGGAGAUAGCUGGUUCUCCUCGAAAUAGUUUUAGGACUAGCCUUAAUUUAGUCUGAUGGAGGUAGAGCACUGAAUUUUUGCGGGGGCGUCAAAGCUUACCAAUGAAUAUCAAACUGCGAAUGCCAUACAGAUGAUGAUUAGGAGUCAGACUACACGAGAUAAGUUGGGUAGUCGAAAGGGAAAGAGCCCAGAUCUACGGCUAAGGUCCCAAAGUGAGUGUUAAGUGGAAAAGGAUGUAGGAUCUCAUAGACAACUAGGAUGUUGGCUUAGAAGCAGCCAUACAUUAAAAGAGUGCGUAAUAGCUCACUAGUCGAGAGGUUCUGCGCCGAAAAUGUCCGGGGCUAAAACACUACACCGAAGCCAAGGGAUGACGAAAGUCAUCGGUAGAGGAGCAAUCUUACCGACGUAGAAGCCAUACCGAAAGGAGUGGUGGAGAAGUAAGAAGAGAGAAUGCCGGAAUGAGUAGCGAGAGUGAGGUGAGAAUCCUCACGGCCAAAUACCCAAGGAUUCCAGAGUAAAGCUGAUCUGCUCUGGGUAAGUCGGGACCUAAGGCGAGGGAGAAAUCCGUAGUCGAUGGACAUCAGGUAUAUAAUCCUGAACUGCAUAUAAUCAGAAAUGUGGGGACACAGAGACUUAAGUCGAACCCGGGAGAGCAAAGACCGGGAUAAGCGAGGUAGCAGGUGGUAGGAAAAACCGCCACGAAAUGCGAAUACGUGAUAUGUAGCGAAGAAAAGUAGCGAAGUCGAAUAGGGAGCUGUCAAGAAAAGCCGCUAUAGAGUUAUAUGUACCCGUACCGAAAACCGACACAGGUGGGUGAGGAGAGAAUCCUAAGGCCGGCGGGAGAAGCAUUGUUAAGGAACUCGGCAAAAUGACCCCGUAACUUCGGGAGAAGGGGUACCGAAAGGUCACAGAAAAAAGGCUCAAGCAACUGUUUAGCAAAAACACAGGUCUAUGCGAAACCGAAAGGUGAAGUAUAUGGGCUGACGCCUGCCCGGUGCUGGAAGGUUAAGAGGAGAGGUUAGGCAACGAAGCUUUGAAUCUAAGCCCCAGUAAACGGCGGCCGUAACUAUAACGGUCCUAAGGUAGCGAAAUUCCUUGUCGGGUAAGUUCCGACCCGCACGAAAGGCGUAAUGAUUUGAGCACUGUCUCAACAAUGCACCCGGUGAAAUUGAAGUACCAGUGAAGAUGCUGGUUACCUGCGCCAGGACGGAAAGACCCCAUGGAGCUUUACUCUAGUUUGAUACUGGGGUUUGAUGAUGCAUGUACAGGAUAGGUGGGAGACUGCGAGGCGAGGACGCCAGUUUUCGCGGAGUCACUGUUGGGAUACCACCCUUGUAUCAUUGAAUUUCUAACCCGUGGCCGUAAGCCGGUCAGGGGACAAUGUCAGAUGGGGAGUUUGACUGGGGCGGUCGCCUCCGAAAGAGUAUCGGAGGCGCUCAAAGGUUCCCUCAGAAUGGACGGAAACCAUUCAAAGAGUGCAAAGGCAAAAGGGAGCUUGACUGCGACACUGACGGGUGGAGCAGGUACGAAAGUAGGACUUAGUGAUCCGGUGGUUUUAAGUGGGAAAGCCAUCGCUCAACGGAUAAAAGCUACCCUGGGGAUAACAGGCUUAUCACUCCCAAGAGUUCACAUCGACGGAGUGGUUUGGCACCUCGAUGUCGGCUCAUCGCAUCCUGGGGCUGAAGUCGGUCCCAAGGGUUGGGCUGUUCGCCCAUUAAAGCGGUACGCGAGCUGGGUUCAGAACGUCGUGAGACAGUUCGGUCCCUAUC